rnacentral:lncRNA from 1 species
CUAUUACUGAAUCGGAAAUGAAAACAGCAAUAGAGAAAUUUGCAAGUAACAAGCCUCCCGUGGUGAUGAGUACCAGUUGGAAUAGGAUAAAGCUUUUGAGAGCGAAUCAAAGGAUCUGUUAUGCAGGAUUUAUGAGGAAUAUCUACUUAUGAGACCCAUGAAAGCACCAGUGCAAGGGCCUUUGUUCUUAUAAUCUGUCACAAGUACCAACGUUGGUCCUGUUUGCUUAAUUAAUUGCACUGGGGGGAAAAAAAGCCUUCCAGGUAGUAAGUGAAUAGAAUAAAUUCAAGUUGAGAUUGGUGGUGGUUUCUCGCAUGGCUGCACUUACAAUAUGUGCAAAAUUAUAAUACGUGUAAAGUUGUGUGUAAAAUUAUAAUAUGUGUAAAUUUUCUAAUUUAAAAGUGUCAGCAAACAGAUUUAAACCUCCCUUCUCUGGCACUUUACAAAUUUGCACAGGAAACAUUUAUCAUGUAGAAAAAGAAUAUUUACAAAGGCUCUCAAGCAAACUUCAUUUCAAGAACUUGAGUAAAUGAAAUAUAAAGCAAGAACUCCUGUGUACCACCCUAUUCACCAGGAAAGAGCUGCUUUCUUUCUGGAAUAAACACCUGGGAUAUAGACACCUCUUCACUCCAUUUAGUCUGUUGACAAAAGAAGUUUAUGUUCGAUUCAAUAGUGCAGUGAUUUAAAGGUAAGCCAACUACCCUUGGUGACUUCAUUUUGCAGCAAUGGGUUCAUUCGCCUUUUUCAAAUUACUUUUAAAAUGUUACUUCAUCAAAACUCACCAGAAUUUGCAAGCAAACACUUAACAAUAACAACAACAACAAAAAAAAAAGACA